CUAGCCGUAAACGAUGGAUACUAGGCGUUGAGAGGAUCGACCCUCGCAGUGCCGUAGCUAACGCGUUAAGUAUCCCGCCUGGGGAGUACGCGCGCAAGCGUGAAACUCAAAGGAAUUGACGGGGGCCCGCACAAGCGGUGGAGUAUGUGGUUUAAUUCGAUGCAACGCGAAGAACCUUACCAGGGCUUGACAUGUCCGGAACCCUGCCCAAAGGUGGGGGUGCCUACGGGAGCCGGGACGCAGGUGGUGC
rnacentral:rRNA from 1 species